rnacentral:tRNA from 1 species
GCCUUCGGCUGGAUAGAGCGCAACGUUGCUAAUGUUAAGGCCGGAAGUUCGACUCUUCCCGAUCGCACCA